ACAAUGGAGAGUUUGAUCCUGGCUCAGGAUGAACGCUAGCGGCAGGCCUAAUACAUGCAAGUCGAACGGGAUCCAGAAGCUUG
rnacentral:ncRNA from 1 species